rnacentral:rRNA from 1 species
ACGGAAGGCAGCAGUGGGGAAUAUUGGGCAAUGGGGGAAACCCUGACCCAGCAACGCCGCGUGAAGGAAGAAGGCCCUCGGGUUGUAAACUUCUUUUACCAGGGGCGAUAAUGACGGUACCUGGGGAAAAAGCAACGGCUAACUACGUGCCAGCAGCCGCGGUAAUACGUAGGUUGCAAGCGUUGUCCGGAUUUACUGGGUGUAAAGGGCGUGUAGGCGGAACUGCAAGUCAGAUGUGAAAUCCCGGGGCUCAACCCCGGAACUGCAUUUGAAACUGGAGUCCUUGAGUAUCGGAGAGGCAAGCGGAAUUCCUGGUGUAGCGGUGAAAUGCGUAGAUAUUAGGAGGAACACCAGUGGCGAAGGCGGCUUGCUGGACGACAACUGACGCUGAGGCGCGAAAGCGUGGGGAGCAAACAGGAUUAGAUACCCUGGUA